rnacentral:tRNA from 1 species
UAGAAUGUGGUGUAGAGGGAGCACGGAGAAUUUUGAGUUCUGGGGUGUAGGUUCGAGUCCUAUUGUUCUAG